rnacentral:rRNA from 1 species
UCCUACGGGAGGCAGUAGUAGGGAAUCUUCCGCAAUGGACGAAAGUCUGACGGAGCAACGCCGCGUGAGUGAUGAAGGCUUUCGGGUCGUAAAACUCUGUUGUUAGGGAAGAACAAGUGCUAGUUGAAUAAGCUGGCACCUUGACGGUACCUAACCAGAAAGCCACGGCUAACUA